GGAGGGUGCAAGCGUUAAUCGGAAUUACUGGGCGUAAAGCGCACGCAGGCGGUCUGUCAAGUCGGAUGUGAAAUCCCCGGGCUUAACCUGGGAACUGCAUUCGAAACUGGCAGGCUNGAGUCUUGUAGAGGGGGGUAGAAUUCCAGGUGUAGCGGUGAAAUGCGUAGAGAUCUGGAGGAAUACCGGUGGCGAAGGCGGCCCCCUGGACAAAGACUGACGCUCAGGUGCGAAAGCGUGGGGAGCAAACAGGAUUAGAUACCCUGGUAGUCCACGCCGUAAACGAUGUCGACUUGGAGGUUGUUCCCUUGAGGAGUGGCUUCCGGAGCUAACGCGUUAAGUCGACCGCCUGGGGANUACGGCCGCAAGGUUAAAACUCAAAUGAAUUGACGGGGGCCCGCACAAGCGGUGGAGCAUGUGGUUUAAUUCGAUGCAACGCGAAGAACCUUACCUACUCUUGACAUCCAGAGAACUUAGCAGAGAUGCUUUGGUGCCUUCGGGAACUCUGAGACAGGUGC
rnacentral:rRNA from 1 species